rnacentral:rRNA from 1 species
AUUGAACGCUGGCGGCAGGCCUAACACAUGCAAGUCGAGCGGGGUUUUCGGACCUAGCGGCGGACGGGUGAGUAAUGCGUAGGAAGCUACCCGAUAGAGGGGGAUACCAGUUGGAAACGACUGUUAAUACCGCAUAAUGUCUACGGACCAAAGUGUGGGACCUUCGGGCCACAUGCUAUCGGAUGCGCCUACGUGGGAUUAGCUAGUUGGUGGGGUAAUGGCUCACCAAGGCGACGAUCCCUAGCUGGUUUGAGAGGAUGAUCAGCCACACUGGAACUGAGACACGGUCCAGACUCCUACGGGAGGCAGCAGUGGGGAAUAUUGGACAAUGGGCGCAAGCCUGAUCCAGCCAUGCCGCGUGUGUGAAGAAGGCCUUCGGGUUGUAAAGCACUUUCAGUAGGGAGGAAGGGUGUUGUGUUAAUAGCACAGCAUUUUGACGUUACCUACAGAAGAAGCACCGGCUAACUCUGUGCCAGCAGCCGCCGUAAUAC